rnacentral:lncRNA from 1 species
AGAGUCCAGCUCCCGAGACCCGGUCAAAGCAGGGACAGGAUCUCUUCCCCACCCACCCAAAUGACGCCCUCGGUCUGUUUCCGCUGGGAUCCGGAGAAGCUGACCCUCUCACCGGGGGGUCUUCCCGGGGCGCCUAGGCCAGGGCGGGCCCCCAGCGUCGUCCUCUCCCACCCCCCCACUCCCCUGCCCACACAUUCUGGAUCAAAGCAGACAUGCGGCCGGCGCUCUGCGAUCCAAGGCACACUGGGGUCUUUCAUCCGGUGUUUUUAAAAAGGAGGAAACAAAAGGCUCAGAGGCAGGGCCCCAGGUGCGCUCGCCCGCGGGGGCUGCGGCGCGGACGACCGAAGAAAACCACGACUUCCUGGAAAAGUCUUCACCGUAAAUAUUAAUCUCUUUGGCAUGAAGAGGAAAACACUGCAGCUAAUUUUUCAUGGGAUAACAAAAAUAUAAACUGCAAUUUCUUUUAUUUUUUCCCUUUCGAUGGUCUUUUUAAACGAGGAGUAAAGAUUUCAACGCCAGGUCCAUUUUCCAAAUUUUGUACCAGAACCUUGAGGAUGCUUGUCUCUCGCGCGCUUCUCCGCAGACCGAACCCUCUCCGGAACUCAGAGCUGUUCACCCAAGUCAGCGGAGGAGGCCUCCUGGGACUUGAGCCUGAGGGUGGCGAAGAACCCUAGGCAGAGAUCAUCAACUUGGUACCGAUGAGUGACGCGGAGCUUGAACAUUCCAGCGACUUGCUCCAGGGCCACUCCCAGUUAAGAGGCUGAGUGUUAACUGCAAGAGGCUGAGUGUUAACUACGCCGUUGGCUCCAGGAACCGAACCGGGUUUGGAUACAGACCCAGUCACACCAUCCAUGAAAAGCUGUUUCUAUAAUAUGAAAAAUUGUUAAAUGACGCUUUAGUAAAAGCCAUUUAAAGAUCUUUUCUAAUAAAUUUUUCAUCUUUCCAAACAAUGCCGCUAAUUACCUUCUGAUACAGUGCGUUUCCAAAAUGUUUAUGAACUGAAAACAAAAAUAAAAAACUACAUUUUUAUGUUGUAAAGGGAGUGGGGGGGACUUUCUAAAAUUUGUCGUAUUAUAGCACUUCUCAUGACAACUUGACCCUUUAGGCAUAAUUUUUGACAAAAUGUCUUGUUCUUUUUCUUUUUACAGCUGAACGUCUUAAAUUCAAGGAGUAAACACAUAUAAUGAGAUAAAAGUUUAUCACUGUUAGCACAACCAAUAAUUUGCAUCGUAGUCUCAAUUUCCUCGAAUCUUUAAUAAAACCAAAGUGGUCAAGUGUUUAAAUGAUUAUACAGAUUGAGUACCCCUUAUCCAAAAUGCUUGGGACCAGAAAUAUUUUGGAUUCUGGAUUUUCUUGGAUUUUGCAAUAGUUGCAUAGACGUAACGAGAGAUCUUUGGGGAUGGAACUCAAGCCUAAACAUGAAAUUUAUUUAUGUUUUCUAUAUGCCUUAUACACAUGGCCUGAAGGUAAUUUUAUACAAUAUUUUAGAUAAUUUUGUGCAUGAAACAAAGUUUUGACUGCACUUUGACUGCAAGUCAUCACAUGAGGUCAGGUGUGGAAUUCGCCA